rnacentral:snRNA from 1 species
AAACUCAUACAAGGGAAAUGCUAUGUCAUAAAAGUGGUUUUCCUUGGGGGAGGCACAUCCAUUGCACUUUGGGUGUGCUGCUGAUCCCUGUGAUUUCCCCAAAUGUGGGGAACUCAAUUCCAUAAUUUGUGUUAAUGGGAUAUUGCACUUGUGAUUAACCUUG